GAUGAACGCUGGCGGCGUGCCUAAUACAUGCAAGUCGAGCGAAUGGAUUAAGAGCUUGCUCUUAUGAAGUUAGCGGCGGACGGGUGAGUGACGCGUGGGUAACCUGCCCAUAAGACUGGGAUAACUCCGGGAAACCGGGGCUAAUACCGGAUAACAUUUUGAACCGCAUGGUUCGAAAUUGAAAGGCGGCUUCGGCUGUCACUUAUGGAUGGACCCGCGUCGCAUUAGCUAGUUGGUGAGGUAACGGCUCACCAAGGCAACGAUGCGUAGCCGACCUGAGAGGGUGAUCGGCCACACUGGGACUGAGACACGGCCCAGACUCCUACGGGAGGCAGCAGUAGGGAAUCUUCCGCAAUGGACGAAAGUCUGACGGAGCAACGCCGCGUGAGCGAUGAAGGCUUUCGGGUCGUAAAACUCUGUUGUUAGGGAAGAACAAGUGCUAGUUGAAUAAGCUGGCACCUUGACGGUACCUAACCAGAAAGCCACGGCUAACUACGUGCCAGCCGCCGCGGUAA
rnacentral:rRNA from 1 species